rnacentral:rRNA from 1 species
AGAGUUUGAUCAUGGCUCAGGACGAACGCUGGCGGCGUGCUUAACACAUGCAAGUCGAACGGUAAGGCCCCUUCGGGGGUACACGAGUGGCGAACGGGUGAGUAACACGUGGGUAAUCUGCCCUGCACUUCGGGAUAAGCCUGGGAAACUGGGUCUAAUACCGGAUAUGAACUCCUGCCGCAUGGUGGGGGUUGGAAAGUUUUUCGGUGCAGGAUGAGCCCGCGGCCUAUCAGCUUGUUGGUGGGGUAAUGGCCUACCAAGGCGACGACGGGUAGCCGGCCUGAGAGGGUGAUCGGCCACACUGGGACUGAGACACGGCCCAGACUCCUACGGGAGGCAGCAGUGGGGAAUAUUGCACAAUGGGCGAAAGCCUGAUGCAGCGACGCCGCGUGGGGGAUGACGGUCUUCGGAUUGUAAACCCCUUUCAGUAGGGACGAAGCGCAAGUGACGGUACCUGCAGAAGAAGCACCGGCUAACUACGUGCCAGCAGCCGCGGUAAUACGUAGGGUGCGAGCGUUGUCCGGAAUUACUGGGCGUAAAGAGCUCGUAGGCGGUUUGUCACGUCGUCUGUGAAAUCCCUCGGCUUAACCGGGGGCGUGCAGGCGAUACGGGCAGACUUGAGUACUACAGGGGAGACUGGAAUUCCUGGUGUAGCGGUGAAAUGCGCAGAUAUCAGGAGGAACACCGGUGGCGAAGGCGGGUCUCUGGGUAGUAACUGACGCUGAGGAGCGAAAGCAUGGGUAGCGAACAGGAUUAGAUACCCUGGUAGUCC